UACUAUCUAGAACAGCAGAUUUCAUCUUGUUGUGCCCAAAAUACCUAAAGGAACUCGCAUGUACAACAUUCGUAUAUUAUCCAGUGAAUGAAAUCAAUUCUCACCUGCUAUGAACUCCGGCAGCCCUGAACUCAAUCCCAACUCCGAUCUCAAUAUUUGAUCCGACACAAAUCGAUACACAAAACAUAUACACGUAAACCCAGUGAAUGAAAUCAAUUCUCACCUUCAAGCUGAUUGAAUUGAUCGAAAUCAAAGAAAGAGAGGAGAAGAGAGAAAUAAACCCUAAUCCCAAUUUCAACAAGGCUCUGCGUGUGUGUUCUGUGGGCGAUUUUUAUUCAGUUAUAUAUAUCCAGGCUCAAAUGACAUCAAACUUAUACAUACAUUAACUGGAUGGUAUUUGCACAUAGCUUAUUGGACAAUACCUGAAGUGUUUACAAACAAUAAAAAUAAUCUGGAGUAAGAAUACUGCUUAUUGGCCGAGAAUACUGGAUCUUUACUUGAAGUAAGAAAACCAGCAGUUGAUGGUGGGAUAGAACAGUUAAGAAAAGAGAUGACUGUGAUGAUGCAGGAGGUCAUUGAAUUGCAGCAGCAACAUCAUGGAACGAUUCAGCAUAUGGAAGCAGUGAACGAAAAGCUCCAAGCAGCAGAACAGAAGCAGAAGCAAAUGGUUUUCUUUCUUAGCAAAAGUGUUCCAGAACCCUGCGUUCUUGGCUCAUUUUGAGAACAUUGGUUCAUAUAAAUUCGACAUACCAGAUGAUCUUCCCAGGCCCCUAGAGCCUAAAGAGUGUUUUCAGGAGUAUUCUGUGUCUUCCGGAUUUGAAGAAUUGACAAGACCAGACAUGGGUUUGAAUCUGGUAUGUCAGGCUCCAACAAUGAAGUGUGGGGUAAUUUUAAUAAUUUUGUUGCACCAGAAUUCGGAGUCAUCGGCGGAAUGUCAGAUAUAUGGGAUGUAAGUUCCUCAGAGGUGGCAGUAGGUCCUGAAUUCGAUAUUUGGCAGUAGGUCCUGAAUUCAACUUCUUUGGCAGUUAGAAGCACAUUUUGGUUUAUAAAGAAAAAGAGUUUAGGGUGGUCGUAUAGAUGCUUUAAAUGUAUAUAUACCAUAUCUUUUCUAGGGCAGAGGCCUUUCUUGAUGGAAUCUGUGAGCAUUUUAUUGAUAGAAUAGUUGUUUUUGCAUAUAAAAUUCUUUGUUUGUGUUAAUUUGUUUUCACAAGAAAGAAAGGUUUAGUAUGAAUUAUGA